GGGUUGUGAGGUUAAGCGACUAAGCGUACACGGUGGAUGCCCUGGCAGUCAGAGGCGAUGAAGGACGUGCUAAUCUGCGAAAAGCGUCGGUAAGGUGAUAUGAACCGUUAUANCCGGCGAUGUCCGAAUGGGGAAACCCAGUGCAAUUCGUUGCACUAUCGUUAACUGAAUACAUAGGUUAACGAGGCGAACCGGGGGAACUGAAACAUCUAAGUACCCCGAGGAAAAGAAAUCAACCGAGAUUCCCCCAGUAGCGGCGAGCGAACGNGGAGCAGCCCAGAGUCUGAAUCAGCUUGUGUGUUAGUGGAACGGUCUGGAAAGUCCGACGGUACAGGGUGAUAGUCCCGUACACCAAAAUGCACAGGNUGUGAACUCGAAGAGUAGGGCGGGACACGUGGUAUCCUGUCUGAAUAUGGGGGGACCAUCCUCCAAGGCUAAAUACUCCUGACUGACCGAUAGUNAACCAGUACCGUGAGGGAAAGGCGAAAAGAACCCCGGCGAGGGGAGUGAAAAAGAACCUGAAACCGUGUACGUACAAGCAGUGGGAGC
rnacentral:rRNA from 1 species